rnacentral:lncRNA from 1 species
AUAACACCCUAUAAUAAAACUGUAUUGGAAAGGUGUUGAAUUACAUUAUAAUAACACCCUAUAAUAAAACUGUAUUGGAAAUGGUGUUGAAUCACACCCUAUAAUAAAACUGUAUUGGAAAGGUGUUGAAUAACACCCUAUAAUAAAACUGUAUUGGAAAGGUGUUGAAUAACACCCUAUAAUAAAACUGUAUUGGAAAGGUGUUGAAUUACACCCUAUAAUAAAACUGUAUUGGAAAUGUGUUGAAUAACAGCUGAUAAUAAAACUGUAUUGGAAAGGGUGUUGAAUCACAUUAUAAUAACACCCUAUAAUAAAACUGUAUUGGAAAUGUGUUAAAUAACACCCUAUAAUAAAACGGUAUUGGAAAUGUGUUGAAUUACAUUAUAAUAACACCCUAUAAUAAAACUGUAUUGGAAAGGGUGUUGAAUUACAUUAUAAUAACACCCUAUAAUAAAACUGUAUUGGAAAGGGUGUUGAAUAACACCCUAUAAUAAAACUGUAUUGGAAAGGGUGUUGAAUAACACCCUAUAAUAAAACUGUAUUGGAAAUGUCUUUAAUCUUGUUAUUAAAGCACCCUGUAAUAAAACUUAAGACUGUGCUUCAGAAAAGUCCAUCUGUCAUUGGUCACUUGUAAAGGAAUAGUAUGUUUUGCAGUACUUGGCGUAAACGGCGGUGGGAUCGAUUUAAAGAAAACAGCAGAUGUUUAAGUCGAUGCAGCUAGGUCCUCUUUCUGGCUUUAUCCCUCUGCAAGGGAUCAACUAAAUAAACACAUAUAGAAAAUGGAACAAUCUAGUAACAAACUACAUUAACUAAUAUAGAACAAUCUAGACAUAAACUAUAUUAACUAAUAUAGAACAAUCUAGACAUAAACUAUAUUAACUAAUAUAGAACAAUCUAGACAUAAACUACAUUAACUAAUAUAGAACAAUCUAGACAUAAACUACAUUAACUAAUAUACAAUCUAGUGAUAAACUACAUUAACUAAUAUAGAACAAUCUAGUAAUAAACUACAUUAACUAAUAUACAAUCUAGUGAUAAACUACAUUAACUAAUAUACAAUCUAGUGAUAAACUACAUUAACUAAUAUACAAUCUAGUGAUAAACUACAUUAACUAAUAUAGAACAUAGAACAAUCUAGUGCUGUAGGCAGCUGGUACUGAUGUAGAACUUUCCCAACAUGGAAACCUGUUCAAAAGAAUACUUUCAAUUAAGUGCACAAUCAAUUUUUUUUGUAUCAUUAAAGGUCUGAAAACCAGCCAAUCAAAACAUACAGUCUUCAAGUGCCUCUUUUGAGUCUGUCAAGCCAAAGGCAAGUUGGCAUGUGUGGGUUUUGUUUCUCUUGCAUCAUCCAUAUUAUCAAGAGCAGGUGUCACACACACAUCUUAGCAGGAAAGCCUCUAACA